CCUACGGGAGGCAGCAGUGGGGAAUAUUGGACAAUGGGGGCAACCCUGAUCCAGCCAUGCCGCGUGUGUGAAGAAGGCCCUCGGGUUGUAAAGCACUUUCAGUGAGGAAGAACGCCUGGUGGUUAAUACCCAUCAGGAAAGACAUCACUCACAGAAGAAGCACCGGCUAACUCCGUGCCAGCAGCCGCGGUAAUACGGAGGGUGCGAGCGUUAAUCGGAAUUACUGGGCGUAAAGCGCGCGUAGGUGGCUUGAUAAGCCGGUUGUGAAAGCCCCGGGCUCAACCUGGGAACGGCAUCCGGAACUGUCAAGGUAGGGUGGAGGAGAGGAAGGUAGAAUUCCCGGUGUAGCGGUGAAAUGCGUAGAGAUCGGGAGGAAUACCAGUGGCGAAGGCGGCCUUCUGGACUGACACUGACACUGAGGUGCGAAAGCGUGGGUAGCAAACAGGAUUAGAUACCCCAGUAGUC
rnacentral:rRNA from 1 species